GUGCUCGCUUCGGCAGCCCAUAUUCUAAUAUUGGAACGAUACAGAGAAGAUUAGCAUGGCCCACGCACAAGGAUGACACGCAAAUUCAUGAAGUGCUUAAUAUUUCA